AUGGAAUCCCUCCCUCUUUCUCUCGAAUGGCGCAGGUACCCUGAAACAACAUCUUCUCUGAUUCACGAACCUCGUUCACCACCUUUCAUCAUUAACAACAAUCUCAUUCGGCUCUCUUCUCUCCGUCUCCAUCAACCCCCAUUUUGUUACCGUCUCAGCCUUCCUCAGAACCAUGCAAAAACACGAAGCUUUGAAGCUUCCAAAUCCGGUCACAUAAUGCACAUAUUCAAACAAGAUGUGAUUUGA